UAGUCAAGGGCUUGAUGAUUAUUUGACAAGUUGAAUCAGGUGUGAUAGCUCUGGAAUAGUUGAAAUACAUGGAACAGCUGGAGGUCCCAGAGUAGAGAUUUGGAACGGCUGGAGGUCCCAGAGUAGAGGUUUGGAACGGCUGGAGGUUCCAGAGUAGAGGUUUGGAACGGCUGGAGGUACCAGAGUAGAGGUUUGGAACGGCUGGAGGUUCCAGAGUAGAGGUUUGGAACGGCUGGAGGUUCCAGAGUAGAGGUUUGGAACGGCUGGAGGUUCCAGAGUAGAGGUUUGGAACGGCUGGAGGUUCCAGAGUAGAGGUUUGGAACGGCUGGAGGUUCCAGAGUAGAGGUUUGGAACGGCUGGAGGUCCCAGAGUAGAGGUUUGGAACGGCUGGAGGUUCCAGAGUAGAGGUUUGGAACGGCUGGAGGUUCCAGAGUAGAGGUUUGGAACGACUGGAGGUUCCAGAGUAGAGGUUUGGAACGGCUGGAGGUUCCAGAGUAGAGGUUUGGAACGGCUGGAGGUUCCAGAGUAGAGGUUUGGAACGGC
rnacentral:lncRNA from 1 species